rnacentral:piRNA from 1 species
UGAACGUGUUGUAGCAUUUAUCAGGGUAC